UCUGACAUGACUGAGUGACUUUCACUUUUCAAAGGCUAACCAUUAGUAAUGAGAAACAUCAGAUGUUGAACGAAAUGAGUUUCAUAUGGAACCAAUCUUAAGCCACACAAUGAGCCUGAUAUUUAGAAUCUCUCUUUUUGUCUCUCACAGAAUGGAAGUAACAGCUGAUAAGAAAGAUGAACAGUACUGACAUAUGAUUUACUGACCUAUCCAUUCCAGAAAACAAAUUCUAAGAGCUCAUUACCAGCCAAGUAAGACAGGAUUCAAGUAAUUGUUUGCCCUGAAAUUAGAUAUAGCCUGAGACAUUCUUCUGUGUCUUCCUACAUUCAGGAGAAAAACAAAUUUCACUCAGCCAAGCCAGUGUUCCUUAUCAUUUAUGUUCUAGAUAACACUUGAAGGCAAUGUGUGCUGCUGCUGCUGCUAAGUUGCUUCAGUCAUGUCCGACUCCAUGCGACCCCAUAGACAGCA